rnacentral:rRNA from 1 species
CGGGAUUAGAUACCCCGGUAGUCCUAGCUGUAAACGAUGGUAUGCUGGGGUUUGGGGGGUGUAAAUUCCCUCUGUGCCGAAGCAAACGCGUUAAUCAUCCCGCCUGGGGACUACGGCCGCAAGGCUAAUACUCAAACGAAUUGACGGGGGCCCGCACAAGCGGCGGAGCGUGUGGUCUAAUUCGAUGCUACACGAAGAACCUUACCUGGGUUUGACAUGCACGUGGUAGGGAACCGAAAGGGGACCGACCUUCGGGAGCGUGCACAGGUGCUGCAUGGCUGUCGUCAGCUCGUGCCGUGAGGUGUCGGGUUAAGUCCCGUAACGAGCGCAACCAUUGCCCUUAGUUACAAGUGUCUAAGGGGACUGCCCGGGACAACUGGGAGGAAGGUGGGGAUGACGUCAAGUCAGCAUGGCCUUUAUAUCCAGGGCUACACACACGCUACAAUGGCCGGUACAAUAGGUUGCGAAGUCGUGAGGCGGAGCCAAUCCUCAAAGCCGGUCUCAGUUCGAAUUGCAGUCUGCAACUCGACUGCAUGAAGCUGGAGUUGCUAGUAAUCGCAGGUCAGCUAUACUGCGGUGAAUACGUUCCCGGGCAUUGUACACACCGCCCGUCACGUCAUGGAAGCUGGCAACGCCUGAAGCCGGUGAGCUAACCCGAAAGGGAGCAGCCGUCGAGGUGGGGCUGUAACUGGGACGAA